rnacentral:rRNA from 2 species
CUUGGAGGAACGUAUAGCGAAAGCUAGUUGCAUUUAAUUUAGCGAAAGCUAAACUGGUGCAGAAUUGAUUCUAUCAAAUAAAGUUCUAGACAGGUUAUGAUGAUGACAUUUCCUAUCUAUGUGUCUUGACCAAAUUACGUGCCAGCAGUCGCGGUAACACGUAGAAGACUAGUGUUAUUCAUCUUUAAUAGGUUUAAAGGGUACCUAGACGGUAAAUCCAGUCCAAAAAGGAUACUAAUUUGCUAGAGUUUAAUGUGAGGGGGCACUAAAGUACUGAUAAGUGUAGAGAUGAAAUUCUGUGAUACAAUAUAAGGACAGGUAAAGGCGAAAGCAUCUCAUUAUGUAAUAACUGACGUUGAGGGACGAAGGCUAGGAGAAGCAAAAAGGAUUAGAUACCCAAGUAGUCUUAGCAGAAAAUUAUGAAUGUCAUAGGAUGGAAAUAGUGGAUAACCAUUUUUUUUUCUAUAAAUGAAAGUGUAAGCAUUCCACCUCGAGAGUAAUUUGGCAACAUUGGAACUGAAAUCAUUAGACCGUUUCUGAAACAAGUAGUGAAGUAUGUUGUUUAAUUUGAUGGUCCGCAAAAAACCUUACCACAAUUUGAAUAGAAAUUUUUAUUUUUUACAAGCGCUGCACGGUUGUCUCCAGUUAAUGUCGUGAGAUCUUGGUUAGUUCCAUUAAAUUAACGUAAACCCUUACUUUAUUUAUAUAUAGAGUAGUUCACCGCUAGAUUGGAUGUGAUAACAGGGA